GGAUGUGGGGGCCAUCUGGCUGUGACGUCUGUCACCCCAUUGAUCGCCAUGCUGGAUUCGGCUGAUCUGCCAGGCUAGGUGGGUGCCCUCUUCCUCCCUCACUCGGUCAAAGAGGACGACCUUCCCCAAAUACAGGAAGGCCGGUCUCCGGUCAAGGGUAUUCGAGUAGCUGCACCCCUCUCCAAACAAGCUCAAAGAACCUCGGCUAAGACAUUCACGGCUGCACCCUGGAAGCAAGAACACUGCCUGAUGUAAGCCUGUGUGCAGGACACAGCUGUUGGAU
rnacentral:snRNA from 1 species